GCCUCGUUAGCUCAGAUGGUAGAGCAAGUGAUUUGUAAUCACUAGGUCGCUGGUUCGAUCCCGGCACGAGGCUCUA
rnacentral:tRNA from 1 species